CCUACGGGUGGCAGCAGUGGGGAAUAUUGGGCAAUGGGCGCAAGCCUGACCCAGCAACGCCGCGUGAAGGAAGAAGGCUUUCGGGUUGUAAACUUCUUUUCUCAGGGACGAAGAACGUGACGGUACCUGAUGAAUAAGCCACGGCUAACUACGUGCCAGCAGCCGCGGUAAUACGGAGGUGGCAAUCGUUAUCCGGAUUUAUUGGGUGUAAAGGGCGUGUAGGCGGGAGCGCAAGUCAGAUGUGAAAACUCAGGGCUCAACCCUGAGCAUGCAUUUGAAACUGUGUGUCUUGAGUGCGGGAGAGGCAAUCGGAAUGCGGGGUGUAGCGGUGAAAUGCGUAGAUAUACGGAGGAACACCAGUGGCGAAGGCGGAUUGCUGGACAGUAACUGACGCUGAGGCGCGAAAGCGUGGGGAGCAAACAGGAUUAGAUACCCUAGUAGUC
rnacentral:rRNA from 1 species